UACGGAGGGUGCGAGCGUUGUCCGGAAUCAUUGGGCGUAAAGGGCGCGUAGGUGGCCCGGUCAGUCCGUGGUGAAAGCGCGGGGCUCAACCCCGCGUCGGCCAUGGAUACUGCUGGGCUGGAGCACUGUAGAGGCAGGCGGAAUUCCGGGUGUAGCGGUGGAAUGCGUAGAGAUCCGGAAGAACACCGGUGGCGAAGGCGGC
rnacentral:rRNA from 1 species